GCCGAGGUGGCGGAAUCGGUAGACGCAGCGGAUUCAAAAUCCGCCGUUGAAAAACGUGAGGGUUCGAGUCCCUCUCUCGGCACCA
rnacentral:tRNA from 1 species